ensembl:snoRNA
UGCCUUUUUGUGUUGCCCAUUCAUUGCUUUUUGAACAGAUGAAUGUGGUGUCAAAAAAGGCAUACAUUGAUUCUUGUGUUGACCUUAACAAGACGCUGCCUGUGCUAUCUUGUGAUAAGUUAACAGCAAGUACAGUG